AAAAAUUCCUAGUUCCAACAGUCUUAAACACAUCUUCCAUCUAUACACAUUUCCGAAAUGGAAUAAAAACAAAGCAGCAGUUCAAUAAACAGCAAACAAGAGCGCAAAUGGAGAGAAUGGGUGCAUUCAACAACAACAGCAACUGAAAAACAGAAAAAUAAAACCACACAAUCGAGAGAAAAAAAUAAUAAAAAAAAUGUAUACACAAAUUAGAUAUAAGCAUAAAGUGUAACCAAAAUAAAAAUUCAAAAACCAAAA